rnacentral:rRNA from 1 species
UACGGAGGGUGCGAGCGUUGUCCGGAAUCAUUGGGCGUAAAGGGCGCGUAGGUGGCCCGGCCAGUUCGUGGUGAAAGCGCGGGGCUCAACCCUGCGUCGGCCAUGAAUACUGCCGCGGCUGGAGCACUGUAGAGGCAGGCGGAAUUCCGGGUGUAGCGGUGGAAUGCGUAGAGAUCCGGAAGAACACCGGUGGCGAAGGCGGCCUGCUGGGCAGUUGCUGACACUGAGGCGCGACAGCGUGGGGAGCAAACAGG